UGCAAGAAUUUCUUCCCAUAGCAAUACGAUGUUCUUUACCUAAAAAAGUGUGCUCAGUUCUAAUUGACUUGUCCAAUUUUUUUAAAGACCUUUGCUCUAAGGUUCUUCAAGAAAGUGACUUUGAUUUGCUUGAGUAUCGAGCUGCUUCAACAUUAUGUGAAAUGGAAAAAAAUUUUCCUCCGUCUUUUUUUACCAUAAUGGUACAUUUGGUUAUUCAUUUAGCAAAUGAAGCAAGACUUGCUGGUCCAGUCAUAUAUCGGUGGAUGUAUCCUGUUGAGAGGUUUCUUCUUACGCUUAAGAUGUAUGUGCGUAAUAGAGCUAGUCCAGAGGAUUCAAUUGCAGAAGGCUAUUUAGCUAAUGAAUGUUUAACUUUUGCUUCACGAUAUUUAGUGGGGACUGAAACUAACUUCAAUCAAUCAACCAGAAAUAAAGAAGAUCAAAAUGUUGCCAAUGAUGAGGAAGUAUCCAUUUUUGUAAAUGUUGGAAACCAUUGGGAAGGAAAAAAAAUAAAGGCUUUAGUAGUAACAAGCGUAAGAGGGUCUCACGUAUUACACUUGACAACCAAACUUUGGUGCAAGCACAUCGUUAUGUGUUGUUCAAUUCUGAUGAAGUUUCUCCAUUUUUAAAGAAGCAUGAGCAAUUUAUUAAGAGGCGUAAUCGCUCCCCACGUCUUUCGCCUAAUGAGAUACAAAAGUUACAAAGUGAAACAUUUCAUGAUUGGUUUCAUGAUCAUGUUGCACAAUUGGAGCAACAAGGAAAUGCAAACAUCACCGAUG